rnacentral:lncRNA from 1 species
AGCAAUCCUCUUCCAGGUCCCCUUUCUGCAACAGAGAGCUUUCUUCAUUCACUUAUUAAACUUUCACUCCGACCUCACCCUUUGGGUCCAUACUCCUUAAUUCUCUUGGUCUUGGGUGAUACCUCACAAGGAGAGACUGCUACAUUGUGGUGCAUUGGUGAGACUGUAACAGACUCCUUUCCAAGUGUUUGGUGUCUGAGUUUUCAGAAGGUUUGACAUGCAUUUCUUCAUUUAAUGCUUAGAACAGACCACCACCAAUAAUAACAACUCCACAUCUUAUUUUUCAGAUGGGGAAACUAUGAUUCAGAAUGAUAACAAUUAAUACAAAGCUGAAGCAAGAUUCAAAUCCAAGUCUUCUGACUUGAAAUCCUACUUUCUUGCCACUUUUUAAACUAUUUAUCUGAUGUUGGCAAUUCAUGGCAAUCAGAGGAUGGAUGAAGGGCUCUGGAGGUUUUGGUUACAGUCAGGGAGCAUUAGAAAGAACAAGUGUGCUUAGAUGAGGCGGGAAAGCCCAGGUACAUGAAGGAAAAGAAUAAUUUGCCUAAGUUGCCUAGUUUAAAAUCAUUUUUAAUUGGAAAGGUAUUUUUAUCUUCAUUUACAGAUGUGGAAACUAAGAUUCAGAAUGAUUAUUCAAAAAUCACAUAGCUAGUGGCAACCUCAAGGAUUGAAACCAGGUGUGUCUAUCUCUAAAUAUAGUGAUAAAAAGCAUGCAUUUUGGGUUGAACUCUGCUCUCCACAUAGAUCUUGGUCCAGCCCGCCCCCUAACCCUGGUGUCCUCAUGUGAAAUGAGGCUAAUAAUUGCCAGGCCUCUGAGCCCAAGCCAAGCCAUCACAUCCCCUGUGACUUGCACAUAUACGCCCAGAUGGCCUGAAGUAACUGAAGAAUCACAAAAGAAGUGAAUAUGCCCUGCCCCACCUUAACUGAUGACAUUCCACCACAAAAGAAGUGUAAAUGGCCAGUCCUUGCCUUAAGUGAUGACAUUACCUUGUGAAAGUCCUUUUCCUGGCUCAUCCUGGCUCAAAAAGCACCCCCACUGAGCACCUUGCGACCCCCACUCCUGCCUGCCAGAGAACAACCCCCCUUUGACUGUAAUUUUCCCUUACCUACCCAAAUCCUAUAAAUUGCCCCACCCCUAUCUCCCUUUGCUGACUCUCUUUUCAGACUCAGCCCACCUGCACCCAGGUGAUUAAAAGCUUUAUUGCUCACACAAAGCCUGUUUGGUGGUCUCUUCACACGGACACACAUGAAAUUUGGUGCCGUGACUCGGAUCGGGGGUCCUCCCUUGGGAGAUCAAUCCCCUGUCCUCCUGUUCUUUGCUCCGUGAGAAAGAUCCACCUACGACCUCAGGUCCUCAGACCGACCAGCCCAACGAACAUCUCACCAAUUUUAAAUCAGGACCUACCAGUCUGCCCUGCUCAUACUUGAUCUGGAUGAGACUGAUACCCUGCGAGACGCAACAGAAUCAGCUCCUGGGAUUGUGUUAGCAGAAUGACGGGAGUGUGAGAUCCACCACAUGGCGAGGCACCCCAGGAACCUGUUUUCUUCUUGAAGAGCAACCGAGAACUAUUUCCAAGUUAUCCUUCACUUUGAGGUCUCACUCCUAUCCAUGUAGGCUAGAGUGCAGUAGUGCAAUCUUGGCUCACUGCAGCCUCGACUUCCUGAGCUCAGGUGAUCUUCCCACCUCAGUCUCCUGAGUAGCUGGGACUCCAGGCAAUGGUCAGGUGGAGUAAAACAUAAGGAAGAACAUCUUUUUGGUUCAAAGCAUGAAAAAAAUUGGGUAACACACCUUCCUUACAUCUAGCUGGGCCAUUGAACCAGAAUAUGCCAAUGUUUAAAACACUGAAAUGCCAGCUUUUCUCUUAAAGGACAGCAUGGAGGUGUCUGAUUUCUGCUUGG